rnacentral:rRNA from 1 species
ACACGGCCGUGAAAUGCCCCAGCGCUGAUGGUACUUUGUCUUAAGGCACGGGAGAGUAAGUCGCUGCCAGGU